UGGGGAAUAUUGGACAAUGGGCGAAAGCCUGAUCCAGCCAUGUCGCGUGUGUGAAGAAGGUCUUCGGAUUGUAAAGCACUUUAAGUUGGGAGGAAGGGCAUUAACCUAAUACGUUAGUGUUUUGACCUUACCGACAGAAUAAGCACCGGCUAACUCUGUGCCAGCAGCCGCGGUAAUACAGAGGGUGCAAGCGUUAAUCGGAAUUACUGGGCGUAAAGCGCGCGUAGGUGGUUUGUUAAGUUGGAUGUGAAAGCCCCGGGCUCAACCUGGGAACUGCAUCCAAAACUGGCAAGCUAGAGUACGGUAGAGGGUGGUGGAAUUUCCUGUGUAGCGGUGAAAUGCGUAGAUAUAGGAAGGAACACCAGUGGCGAAGGCGACCACCUGGACUGAUACUGACACUGAGGUGCGAAAGCGUGGGGAGCAAACA
rnacentral:rRNA from 1 species